UUUGAGUUGAGGUUUGUUUAUGGCUCCUCAGACCGCUGUGUAUUACUAUCCUGCGGUCGUUACUAAUGUUGGUUUAACUACAGAAGCAAGCGGUCAGCAGCAUUCAUCUCUGGAGAUGUGUCUAACUCGGUGUUGCGGUGUGUUUUACCCGAUAAUAAGUAAGCAUAGGUCUUCAGUAAUGCUCAUUUAGGUUGUACUCGGGCUAUGCUGUCAUUUGACUACUAUAAUGCUGGUCUGUGAGAGUAGUCUUUGAGAAACAUGAUUAUAAAGGACUCAGGCUGGUUCUGAACAUCAGGCCUGCAAAUACCGAGCCAGGAAUGGAUGAAUAAUGAUGUCCUUGACUUGUGAGUCAUGCAAAUAAUCUCUAAAGCAGUAAAAAUACAGCCUUGGAAAUGAGCACAAUGGACCCGUUUAAGUUAUGCCAUCGCACAGUUUGAACAGAUGAUGAUUUUGAGGAUGCUUUGACACCUAAAGAAAGAUCAAAUUCAGAUAAUCCUUCCAAUAAUACCAGCCUGUUCUUUGAUUCUGCACUAUGACAGCUCAUUAGUGCACAGCUACUAAGAAGCUUGACCCCUCUGAGACCCCCUUCAGUUUCAAUGGAAGAUGAAAAUAUGCAUUAUUUCUGCGUCUAUUUCCAGUUAUCUGCAGUUGUGCGAUGGGAGAAAUUAGUCCAGAUGUUCCUGCAAACCCUCUGAUUCAGUCAUCCCUUGGCAGCUCUGCAGGCUGAGUGCAUCUCCUCAUCUUCAGGACCACCACAGAUCCUCUGGAUGUUCUCUUCUGGAGGCCCCGGUGCAGGACCAGAUGUCGUUGUUGUGCUGCUUCUCGGGAGUCAUUCACAUUUCCAUUAAUCAUUAUUCAAACAUCUCUCCUCCGCCUCCCCCGCUAACCAACCCAGCAUAUGGGCCGCCAUGUCUGCCACUGUGCCCACAACAAACGCGUCACCCGGCCCGUGGUUCAUCAAGGUCCCCCAUGAUGAAACAGCCUGAGCCGCUGAUCUCCCACUAAUUUAAAGAUAACUAUCACCUGUUCUCCGUGUGCCGCACCACACUCUGGAUGGUUUGUGAGUAAUUGGCCUGUGCCUUUUGCUUGAUUAAUUUGAUUGCUACAUUUUUCACUGUCCCCUCUCUGGUGAUUGCUCCGGCACUACAGGUGCUGGGUUUCAUUAAUUAUAUCCUUAAUUGGUUUGGAAAUGUUGAACGCAAGUUUGUUUUGGGGGAAGGUGGCAGUUUGUUUCGAGCGGCAAAACAUCUCAGCGUGUUUCUCCCACUUAAAAAGAUAAAUGAACCUCAUCUUUUCAGCAGAUUGUGGCGAAGAUGCAGGAGGUAACGAAACUCAAGGACAACAAGCUGCUGAGGCUGUUGGGUAUAAGACGGAGAAGUCUGGAGACUGAUAUGCACACUUGUCGACAUGUUCCCUCGGUGAAAUGUUUGAUUAAGAGUCUGACUAAGAUUUUACAAAAUAACAAGUCCAAGAAACAAGAGAAUAAAUCUGGUUUUAAGAUUUGAAAGUACUGUAGAUGUGGUUUGUUUUGGAGAAUCUACCGUUGAAUGCUUUGACAGACCUGAAAGAAGCUGUACAACUUCAAACGCCCCGAAUUUAUAGAGUCUAAGAACGUUAAACAAAGUAUCGCCACCAACCUAUAUCCUGUGGCAUGAUCCUUUUCAGGCUGUCAGCAUUAACUUGCUAAUUGGAACCUCAUUACGUUCCACAAUCAAUACCUUAAUUGUUUAAUUUUCCUUUUGCCACACCGUCAAUCACGGCUACACCUGCGAUGGAAAAUAACAACAUCUGCGCUCUUGAAUGAUGCAUUUCACAUGUGCACUUGGAGUCAAGUGGAAUGAAACUAUAACCAAAGUGCUUUAAGCCUGAGCUGCCAUCCAUGAGCUAAGCAUGCUGUUACGGCCAAUUACACCGAUGUCAAUGGGCAAGCUCUUUAAGAAAACUAGCACAGCACUAUUUUGAGCAUGCAUGAAACUAAACUGCAGGAGUGAACUGCAGCACAGUCCUGAGUCUUUAACACUGUGGAAGACCCUGUCUCCCUCCUGUUCUUUGUGUUUUGUUCCUUGUGUCAGUUUUCAGUGUUUCCUGUUUUAUUUUGUAGGAGUUGAUUCCUUGUGUUUCUGGUCUGGUUUUACUUCCCUAGUUUUCCCUCCAUUGUUAAUCACCAUGAUAAAUCUCACCUGUGCCUCGUUUGCCUCACCUGUUGCUCGUUUCCCUGUGUGUAUAUAUAGUCCCUGUCUUCCCCUGUUUCUUUGUUGGUUCAUUGUAUGUCGAUGUGAAUGCUUGUCUGUGUAGUCUAUGUGUGAAUCCUUAGUCUCCUUGGGUUUUUUUUUUUUCCCUGGGCCUUUAGUUGGAUUUUGCCUUGGGAUUUAUUUUAGUGGACAUUUUGAAUGAAGUUUUUGUUGCUUUUCAUUUAGUUCCUUUUAAAUAAAUCCUUCUUUGCUCUGAAAUUGGGUCCUUUUUCCCGUUGUUCAACUCUGCCCCUUAACAGACGGGGGAUAAAAUGGUACAUUUUAAAGCAUAUUUUUUAAGCAAGCUGACCUCAUAAGAUGUGAUUAAAAACAACAUAGACAAAAUUAAAAGUCCUCCUCUAAAGGAUACAGUGGUCUGUGGAGCCCUCGGGUGAUUCAGGUGCAGCAUAUUGUGAAGCCUGAUCAGCCAUAGUCUUCUCCCAAAUCAGGACACAAUUAAGAACUGCUCAACCUUUUUUUUCAAUAUGGACUUAAAAACUGUUUUCAAAUGCAAAACAUGGUGAUUUCUAAACUCAAUUAAGAAUGUGAUUGAAUAUGUAGUUAAUAUAGAGCUCUGCAAACUGUUCGCACAUGCUCUUGAUGUCCUCAGACAAAUAGUCAUGUGUGAUUUGGAGGCCAAUAACAAUGGUGGACUACUAAGCUGUGUUUGUGCCGGAGACCAUACUGACAUUACCAAAGCUGCUCCAGCAAAUUGUAGAUCUAUGUGUUUUUCAAUAUGCAUUAAUAUGACAUUGGGGCCGACCACAUAAGACCUCAGGAGUAGGAACAUUUUCACUGCUCUAACGUACACUUGAAACAGAUCCUCAUUGGGUGAACACAUUUACAAUAAAACAAUCAUAUCACUUUAACCACGGAGGCCAAACAAAGUAUCUGACCCCUUUGAUUUCAUCUGGCAGACGGCACCACACCAUCUUAACCUGACGCUCACUCAGCUGUGUUUGUGCUGAAAAAAGGUGUAGACACAAUCCCGCUCACUAUGAAAAGCAACCACGUGUGAGAAAAGACGAUGACCGCAACAGGCUGAGAUGAGGAUUGAUUUUUCUGACACUGCGGUGGUGAUCAACAUGUAAGACAUACAACAUAGACAGGCUGUAAACACACAGCUCUGGUUAUACAGGAUGUACGGGGGCUGUUUACUCUGAGGUGCAUUUUAGUGUUAAAGCUUCAGGGCAGUAAAGGUUUAUGUCUGGUUUAAUUGCAUGGCAGUAUUCUGCUUAUUCUAGCAGACAUGUGGAGCAUCUCAACAAGGGAGUUUACCCUGAUCAAACCUGUCUGCAGGUCUCUACUUCAGCCUGACCCUCUAAUUCAAAGAGGUUUUUCUAAAUUUCUUUCUUUUUAAUCCCCAUUUUUUCAUGUCUCCAUUGUUCCCUUUCAUUGUUUCAUUUCAAACCCGAACACAAGGUGAUAAAAAUUGGAUUUUUUGUUUUGUUUGUCGUUUGAUAUAUAAACCAAAGCUGCUAAGUUACACACUGCCUGCUGUAAAAACCAAGCUCAACACUACAACUUUGAAAAGUCUGCAUCGAGAUCCGUGGACUAAUGGUUUGAAGUACAUAUUUUUUUGGUCAGAGAUGAUAUUUGGAAAGAUACACACACAAAAACAUAUUGAUUGAUUAUAUUUUGGUUGGAUGGCUCCAGUAAAAAAUUCUCAUCGGCAGAUUUGUGAAAAAUGUAGAAAAUGAAACUACAACAACCCGCAAGGCUGAAUGAUUUGAAAAAGUGGCUAUCAGUACAUGAUGUCAAGCAUCUGAGCUGAAAUAUUAAAAAGUUUUUACUCAGGAUAUUUUGUGUACUUUUUAUAAAAUCUUUGGCUGGAAGAGAGUUUGAGGAAUUGUUGCUGUAACUCUGUUGCUCUCUGAUAAGUCAUCAUCCAUUACUCACGACGUCGAGAGCUCAUUUUUUUCUUUUUCACCGGCUAUGUGACUGGAAAAAAAAUGAGUUUAUAUCUAAGACCAGAUCUUUGAGUUGCAGAUAAACCGAUGUAUGUGAUUUCUUUAAUAAGCAACGUCAAUUUCAUCAGUUUCCAGAUAAUCACACUCUAACAGUGCACUGUUAUGUUUAUGCAUUUGGGUGUUAACACAGUACAGAAGAUCUGAAGUAUGUGAAACAGGCUGAGGGUUGUGUUGCAGCUUAAGAGAAGAGCGAGUUGUCCUUACUUUUACUUCUUGGAAGCUCCAUCUGUGUGUGUGGUAACCCCAACCUGGAUUGAUGCACCCUUCCCCCACACCAGAAAGUGGAUGGUCCAGGAUUGAUUCAUCUGAGAGCUCACAAAGCGCUCUGGGCUGCUGGGGAAACCUGUACUCCUCAUCUGCACCACACACUCUCUCCACACACACUCACAGGUAUGCACAUACACACUCCACCUGCAGCAUCUUAGCUCCUCUUAAUCAUGUAAUGUGCUCUGUGUCUACACCUGGAUCCUCUGCAGGCUGAUCUUAGUAAUGGAUCUGCAGCUCUCCAACACUUGACCCUGAGUGUAAGUCUGUGUGUGUGAAAAUGGCCAUUUGUCUGGUCUGGCCUGCACUGUCACCUGGUUUGCUCUCAGGAGAGCCCGGUGCAAGCAAUUUGCUCCCUCACACACACACACACACACACUCACUAUACAGAUGCAGCUGUUGUUUACUACCCACACUCUCCAGAGUCAACUUCAUCACAGAAGCACCUGAGCAACUUUGUUUCUGUUUCAGGAGCUGGAAGGAUGAGUCGGGGCAGUUUUUGUUCCUUCUUUUUUGUAAUUCUGUCUGGUUUGUCCAGGUGACAACUGCAAUAAUCACUCGUCUGAAAUACUCAGUGGGAAUUGAUGUCAAACAUGUCCUUUCUCUGUAGUGCUUGGUGAUUCACCCUCUCAAAUGGAGUCCCUCAGGGGUCUGUCUUGGGUCCCCUCUUAUUCAAUGUACAUGAAACUCCUGAGUAGGCAAAGUGUAAACUUUCGCCAUGAUGCAGAUGACACUCAGGUUUAUGCCCUGUCACAACCUGACACCACCGAUGUGUCUCACAUUAUGACUCGCCUGACUGAAUUAAACAUCUGAAAAUCUUCUGCAGCUGAGAGACUCCAUAUCUAAAGUAAUUGUCAUUCCUGCUACAUUAAUAAUCCGUCCUGUAAUGCAACUUAUUCUGGCAUCAGUGAGCACGAUGUACAGAGACUACAAUUUACUUAAAAUGCUGCUGCCCAAUUUUUAACACCAAAUAAGAAAAGAAACCCGUACAGGCUUCCUGCACCCUAUAUCUAUGAGCUGCUAACUACCUAUAAGGUCCUCUAGCAGGGUCCUUCUCAUGGUUCCUAAAUCUAGACUACAGUCAUAACUGGCGACUGAGCAUUUUCGCAUGUGCCCGGAGGCUCAUAACGCGUUGAUCUGACUGUUUUUCAUACCAAUGUGAAUUUGUUAGUGUGCGUUUUUAGCUGCUACAUUCGUAAAGACACGUGUUAAAGCUUCUGUCUGCAUAAAUGAGGGUAAGAUUCAUGGUUAGUCCCUGUGGCCCAGUGCAUAAUAAAUGAUGAUAUAACAAAGAGAGCAAUAUAUGACCAGGCUCCAUUUAUCUUGCAGCAAAGCAAAGUAAUUUUCUGUCUUUUGAUGUGCCUGAAAACACUGCACGCUCUUUCUUUUGAACUUCGAUGGGAGCAAUUAGAGUCCUCGAAGCUCAGAGAACAGAAAUGAAAGUCAAACAGCGAAGGCCUGCUUGUUAACAGCUUGGGAUAAUGCUUUCUGAUCCUGUGUAAAAAAAAAUACCUGGUUAUUUUGGCAUUGUAGAUAUCUUUAGCAGCCAUUACUUGUUUUCACUGGAGAGUUGUAGACGGCAAAGUCAUUAUGUUCCUCCUGCUGUGCGUGUUCUGUUGCAUUUAGCCUCUCAGGUGGAUGUUUGUGGGUCUGUCAGUCAGAAGUGCAGAGUCCUCGAAGGUUGGAAAAGGACGUUCUGAAGAGCGUUUCUGCUACUUUCUCAAAUUCAGCAGCGAACAACAAUAAGAUUAGCUUUCAGACAGCGACUAAGCAGCACAAUAGCAGCAGCCAACCAGAACUGAGAUGCUGCUGAGCGUCCAUUGAUUUCUGCAGGUUUUGUCUGUCCUUCUGCAGAGCUCCUCCUGUCACACACUCUCUAAGCACCGAUGGCACCUCCAGUCUCCGCCUCACUGCAGAGGGAGCCUCAGAGGAUCCUGCCGGACUCCAGCCUGUCACAAGCUGUUUAGAAAGCGGCGGACGGCGCCAGACUGUAAUCAGCUUCAGGGUCUCCAUCCUGCAACACACUGAUACAGACAAUCCAAUCACCCACAAUGCCUGUCAAAAUGAGGAUCUGGUGGCGCAUCUGACUCUAUGGGUUGUUGUCUUCCUCUGAUGCUUGAGGAAAUAACUCUGCAAAGACGAGCCAAGAGUCAGUAUGAACACAAGAAAAGGGUGGAUAAUAGUUAUCAGUUAUUAACAUUUAUAUCAUUGAAGCAAAAGCUUUUUCUUCUGUCUAAAACUUCUCUUCAGUUGUCGUUUAUCCUUUUCAGCAUCCCUUAAUCUUCAGGUCCUUGUCACAGGCUUUAAUAAACAGAUAAUAAGCGUAUAAUAAGACCUUAUAAUCAAUAAGCAUUAUUAACACAUUACUGCUAAAAAACACUGACAGACCCGUUAAAAAAACACGUUCCUGGUUUAUAUAUCUGUCAUAAGCAUCAAUAGGAUGUUAUUAACAUUAAUAAGACUUUUUAGAGAUUAGUAUUUAGUCACACGCUUGCAGUGUUUGAUUUUAAUAAACUUAAAUAUAACAAUAUAAACUUUUUUUUAUCAUUAUAACUAACAUUUGUUAUUGCUUAUAAGCUCUCAGUGACAAUUUAUAGACUUAACUUUUGAUAAGAUGUGAUAUCUUAUUAAUAAACAUGCUAUUAAUGUUUAUGACAGUUAUAUAAACUGUUUACAAGCUUUUAAUGAGCGCCUAUAAAUGUCUUAUAAGCAGUAAUUGAUGUUUUAAGUAUGCUAUGAUGCAGGUGAAUGUUUAAAAGCAUCUUUUGACUUGUUAGCGUUUUAGUAAUGCUCAUUUUAAGGCCCUUGAUAUGAAGUGUUAUUGUAAAGGAUACAUGAUGACUAGAACUGGUUUAAGACGGAAAAAGCAUCUUAAUUAAAACAAAAUAAAGGCUGUUGUGUGCCGUGUCUUCAGUUAUUGGUCUAAAACAGCUGUAUAACUGCUAAAAACUUUAUAAGACACGAUAAGAUACAGUCUAAGUGGAUGUAAGUCGCGUUCACCAGUCUCUCACUCAGACUCUGCACAGGGUUUCAGUGGAUGCUGUGGAUCUGUCACCCUGAUGUUACAUUUUCUAUUGAUCUACGGAUCACAUGCGGUCCAAACCACAGUGGGGUGAUAUGAACAGAUCAGGGAUCAGCUAUGAUCUGUGACACCACAUGGGUGCAUAUUUGUUUAUAACCUUAAAAAUGCCAUGAGAGUUCACGAACCAUGUAUGUUUCAUUUCGAUACCAGUAAAUGUCAGAUACUGUAUAUGAAACGACUGAAGCGUGUUCAAAUUUCAGCCACACGGGGCAUCAGCAUCUCCACCCAUCCUGCAGUUAAUCAAAGAUAGUUUCCGUCAGCCUACGAAUACGUCAAACUCUGAUGCUCUUAAAGACCCAAACACCUUAAAGCAUAAAGCAAUCAGAAUUUAUUGUCGGUAGUUCAAUAAUAUUUGAGCUGAAAGUCAUUUUGUCAUUUCUUCCCUCUUUGAAAUUCAGCAGAGAUCCACUUUUAGUCAGCACCUCUUGGUCUCAAGGUUGUGGCUGCGUUCUUUCCUGUUGUUUCAUAAAUCAGGGGGUAAUGUGAUUGGCCGAGAUCGAGUCAGAGAGGCGAUUAAUUCUCCCGACUCCUCCAGCAGCACUUAAGGUGGCAUUACCAACACUCCAAAUAUAUUAUUUCAGAGGACUCUCCUCUCGUUAAACGCUGCAUGAAAUAAUGGAGGGAUGCAACAAAGAGCUUCAUGAUUCCUCCUCCUCCUCGAACUCUUUCCUUCAGUUGCUUCCUUUCCGUAUCCACUUAUCAUGCAUGCUCUCUACAAAUGGUUCAAAGUGCCUCUCUGCAGCCCACAUUAGACUCCACUUUAAUGGCUGAUGGUACAUUAUGGUACAUACAGUGUGUGAAUUAGGAGAGCUGAACCACUUCAAGCCAGCGUUAUCAUCUCAGUGUUGCACAGAGAGACGUUUCCUCUCGGGGCUUUCGCACAGAUGAAAAGGAUUUCCCGUCCCCUCGCUCAAGGCC
rnacentral:lncRNA from 1 species